AGUGAACGCUGGCGGUAGGCCUAACACAUGCAAGUCGAACGGCAGCACAGUAAGAUCUUGCUCUUACGGGUGGCGAGUGGCGGACGGGUGAGGAAUACAUCGGAAUCUACUUUUUCGUGGGGGAUAACGUAGGGAAACUUACGCUAAUACCGCAUACGACCUACGGGUGAAAGCAGGGGAUCUUCGGACCUUGCGCGAUUGAAUUAGCCGAUGUGGGAUUAGCUAGUUGGCGGGGUAAAGGCCCACCAAGGCGACGAUCCGUAGCUGGUCUGAGAGGAUGAUCAGCCACACUGGAACUGAGACACGGUCCAGACUCCUACGGGAGGCAGCAGUGGGGAAUAUUGGACAAUGGGCGCAAGCCUGAUCCAGCCAUACCGCGUGGGUGAAGAAGGCCUUCGGGUUGUAAAGCCCUUUUGUUGGGAAAGAAAAGCAGCAGGUUAAUCCCCCGCUGUUCUGACGGUACCCAAAGAAUAAGCACCGGCUAACUUCGUG
rnacentral:rRNA from 1 species